GGUCACACGGGGAGAACACGGAUCUGCUCAGAGCUGGCAUCCAAUCAAUACAGACUGAAUGAAUUAGCAGUUUAUUGUUAGUGAUAUUAUUAUCAUCAUCAUCUUUAUUUUUAUUUUGGAGUGGGGAUGAAGAAGGGUAUCAUUUAAAAGGUCAAAAUUUGAUCCAGGCUUUGAAUGACAAGUGAAGAAGACAAGUCCAGGCAGAGGGAAUACCUCACACAGUGGGCUUGACAACAGGCUCCUUCCUCGGGCCCUCAUGCAGCCCUCCAUUGAACCUCUGCUAAGGACUGGCUGGGCCAUGGACUUCAGCCCAGAGUGUGCCAAACUUGUCCUGGAGCGUGGGCCCCAUGGCCGACAGAGCUGUGACUCUGGUUCCCACGAGCAUGUCACUAACCAUUUCCUGGGCCUUAUCACCGGGAGGAAAAAAAGGAGUGCCUUUGAAAAGUGGAAACAAAACAUCAGGCCCCAUUGUUGUGUGACUUCCCCGGCCACAAUCUGGACUCUCCAUCGCUCUACACGCGGAGACUACAAACACGCCCUAAUACAGAUACUCCAAUCGGCAAUUUGACCAGGACAUUUAUUGUUCUGUAUCUGCAAUCUCUGCUGCGUGUUUGUGGCUUUUAAAUCAUCUGGUG
rnacentral:lncRNA from 1 species